CGAGAAAGCCCGCAAGGGUGAGUAAAGCGGCGCACGGGUGCGUAACACGUGGGUAAUCUGCCCUGAAGUCCGGAAUAACUCGCCGAAAGGCGUGCUAAUGCCGGAUGAGACCACGGGAGCCUCGGCUCCUGCGGGAAAAGGUGGCCUCUGUACACAAGCUAUCGCUUCAGGAUGAGCCCGCGGCCCAUCAGCUCGUUGGCGGGGUAAUGGCCCACCAAGGCUACGACGGGUAGCUGGUCUGAGAGGACGAUCAGCCACACUGGAACUGAGACACGGUCCAGACUCCUACGGGAGGCAGCAGUGGGGAAUCUUGCGCAAUGGGCGAAAGCCUGACGCAGCAACGCCGCGUGUGUGAUGAAGGUCUUCGGAUCGUAAAGCACUGUCGCGAGGGACG
rnacentral:rRNA from 1 species